AACGAACGCUGGCGGCAUGCCUAACACAUGCAAGUCGAACGAGACCUUCGGGUCUAGUGGCGCACGGGUGCGUAACGCGUGGGAACCUGCCCUUAGGUUCGGAAUAACUCCCCGAAAGGGGUGCUAAUACCGGAUAAUGUCUUCGGACCAAAGAUUUAUCGCCUUUGGAUGGGCCCGCGUUGGAUUAGCAAGUUGGUAGGGUAAAAGCCUACCAAGGCGACGAUCCAUAGCUGGUCUGAGAGGAUGAUCAGCCACACUGGGACUGAGACACGGCCCAGACUCCUACGGGAGGCAGCAGUGGGGAAUAUUGGACAAUGGGCGAAAGCCUGAUCCAGCAAUGCCGCGUGAGUGAUGAAGGCCUUAGGGUUGUAAAGCUCUUUUACCCGGGAUGAUAAUGACAGUACCGGGAGAAUAAGCUCCGGCUAACUCCGUG
rnacentral:rRNA from 1 species